UUCAUCAACAUCUCAGCCGACUCCCCUCCUCCCAACGAUUUACGUAGCCGGGCAGCCGGCCUCCCUUCUCCUCAACAGCCGUGGAUUAACGCCUGCUCCUCGCCUUUCACAUCACAGCAAUCAAAACUAGAAACUGCUCAUAAAUCCCAAUAAUCACCAAUAGAAACUGCUCCACCGAAAUUAUACGCCGCCGCCAAAUCGACCUUAAAAAGAAGUCCAUGUUGCCAUACGCUUCACCCGCCAGGCUACUCGUGCCCCUGCUCGCGCAGCCAGCACCGUCGGCGGCCACCACGCUGGUUGACCUCCACCUGGAAAUCCCAUUCACGGUUUCCCCCAAAUCUGAUAUUAUUGGUGCCUCCAAUCUGAUACUUGAAGCCCCCUCGAUUUUUUUUUUUUUUGGAUAUUUUGGCAUCUCGCUCUGAUUGCUGAAGCUAGAAGACGCUGGCCAUCAUAUCCUCUACUGUGUGACUCUGCACUAUACAUGUUUCCGUUGGUUAACCUCAGGCUCGCAGAUCCGCCUCAUGUUUUACUCGGAUCGAUUCUGCCUGCUGGUACCACUUUGCCGCCUGGUUUAUUUCAAAGUUUCGCCUUCCCUGAUUGCUCUCUUAGGAUUCAUGGGAGUGGAAAAGGUGAAGAUCUCCCAGCUCAAGAACUUGAAUUUUAUAAUGUCAAACGACCUAAGCAAGACGUAUCAGACAUCAACGUUGCGGCAAACAUCUAAGGAAGGCAGCAGGACAAAAAAUAAAAUAACAUAGGUAUUUCCAUUUCUUAUAGUGCUCUUUCUCUGAUCACAUGCAGUGCAUCAUCAAGGACGCAUGGAACAAUUCAAGAUUGCAAUGACUUCUACCUAAAUUACUUAUGUAGUUGCUUACAUGAAAAGUUGAUGAUCAACGCAUUUAGUCGCUUCUAUUGUAAUCCAUAAUAACGCAGUGUAAUCCAUUAUGUGUCUUUAUGGCAAUAGUUUUCUUUUCGGCAUUUUCAGUUUGCUUUAGUACCACGCCAAAUCCUUCAUGUAUUGUUCACGUCACAAACUUUUAUAUCAAUAUUGGUGACAUCAUAUGCAAGUGCAGAAUA